CAGCAGCCGCCGCGGUAAUGCGGAGGGCGCGAGCGUUACCCGGAUUUACUGGGCGUAAAGGGCGUGUAGGCGGCCUGGGGCGUCCCAUGUGAAAGGCCACGGCUCAACCGUGGAGGAGCGUGGGAUACGCUCAGGCUAGAGGGUGGGAGAGGGUGGUGGAAUUCCCGGAGUAGCGGUGAAAUGCGCAGAUACCGGGAGGAACGCCGAUGGCGAAGGCAGCCACCUGGUCCACUUCUGACGCUGAGGCGCGAAAGCGUGGGGAGCAAACCGGAUUAGAUACCCGCGUAGUCCCUGUCUCUUAUAC
rnacentral:rRNA from 1 species